AGGAACUCUGACUGAGUCUGAAUUGGCCCAGGUCUACUAUGGGCCAGUUUCUGUCUACUACUUUCUGGGAAGGCUCACCAACUGCAGUGUGGCAUGAGAAGCUUCAUGAGGGUGAACAUAAGGGAGCUGGAGAAACAAUCUCUGUCUUCCAGGACCAUGUGAUAUGCUUAGAAGAAAGGGAACAUGGGUCCAAACAUCAUGAGGCAAAAGCAAAAGAAGAAAGGCAGGAGAAAUGUGGUGAAGAUGAGGACACAGUACCUGCUGAGUACAGGUUAAAACCAGCCAAGGAUAAAGAUGGAAAACCACUAUUGCCAGAACCUGAAGAAACAUCUAAGUGCCUGAGUGAGUCAGAGCUGAUUGGGGAGCUUUCAGCAGAUUUUGUCCAACCUACAUAUCAAGAAAAACCAUCUAUGCCAGCUGCAAAAAUAAAGAAGGGCGUAGUGCCAGAUGAUGCUGUAGAAACCUUGGCUAGAAGCCUGGGGACAAGGAAAGAAGAUCCAGAAGAUGAAAAAUCUCUGGUGGAUAAAGUCAAGGAGAAAGCUAAAGAAGAAGAUCAUGAAAAACUUGGUGAAAAAGAAGAAACAAUUCCUCCUGAUUAUCGACUAGAAAUAGUCAAGGAUAAGGAUGGAAAACCGCUCCUGCCAAAAGAAGCCGAGGAACAACUUCCACCCUUAAGCGAUGACUUCCUUCUUGAUGCAUUGUCUCAGGACUUCUCCAGUCCUGCAAACAUAUUGUCUCUUGGUUUUGAAGAUGCCAAACUUUCUGCUGCUGUUUCUGAAACAGUUUCCCAGGUGCCUGCUCCAAGCAACCACACAGCAGCCCCACCGCCUGGCACUGAGAGGAGAGACAAAGAACUCGAUGAUGCCUUGGAUGAACUUUCUGACAGUCUUGGACAAAGACAGCCUGAUCCAGAUGAGAACAAACCACUAGAUGAU
rnacentral:lncRNA from 1 species